UACAGAGGUCUCAAGCGUUGUUCGGAUUCAUUGGGCGUAAAGGGUGUGUAGGUGGCGCGCUAAGUCGGGUGUGAAAUUUCGGAGCUUAACUCCGAAACUGCAUUCGAUACUGGCGUGCUUGAGGACUGGAGAGGAGACUGGAAUUCAUGGUGUAGCAGUGAAAUGCGUAGAGAUCAUGAGGAAGACCAGUGGCGAAGGCGGGUCUCUGGGCAAUAACUGACGCUGAGGAGCGAAAGCGUGGGGAGCGAACAGG
rnacentral:rRNA from 1 species